rnacentral:rRNA from 1 species
AUGCCACGUGCUGAUGGUCCCUUUAAGGUGUUAGAGAAAAUAAAUGAUAAUGCAUAUAAACUUGAGCUGCCUGCAGAUUUUGGGGUUAGUCCCACUUUUAACAUUGCAGAUUUGAAGCCUUAUUUGGGUGAGGAAGAUGAACUUCCGUCGAGGACGACUUCAUUUCAAGAAGGGGAGGAUGAUGAGGACAUCAAUACAAUUGUUACACCCACAGCCCCUGCUGCUAUACAUACUGGACCAAUUACUAGAGCUCGUACACGCCAACUAAAUUACCAGGUACUUUCGUUUCUUGGUAAUGAUUCUAAUGUUCAUGAGAAUAUGAUGCUGCCUAAAUUGGAUACAUUUGUUUUGCUUACAAAUGAAGGGCCUAGCUUGGAGAAGGAUGAACAUUGGAGC